UUUUCAAAGUACGUCAAGAUAUUUAGCAAAUAUUUUCGGUGUCUUCCUCCUCCAAAUGCUAUGAAAUACUGGUUACCCCAAUAUUUCCAUGAACUUCCAAGUUCUUGGGAUGAGCUCGCCAUUAAAAGCCUAUCCCGACUUUCUUGUUCAUAUCAAACGAACGGAUAACCUUGGCUAUCGUACUAAUUUCAUUUAUGGUCUUAUUAACCAAUGUUCUCCAGCACAACCAGUCCCCAUUACCAAAGGCCUUUAUCUCUUUUUCACAGCAACAGCCUCUGAACCCACCACGCCCACCGGAGAAAUUGAGCUUCGACGGAGUAGUCUACACUCGUUUCUACUCACCCCAAAGGUUCCUACUCAAAUUUCCCUAUUGGUUGACAAAUUUGACCCAGACCAAGGCUCUAAUCAAUUUCUUUCUUCCUUUAUUUCUGCGAGGUUGAAGUCCGAGAGUUGAGAGAGAAACCAUCUCAAACUAUUCCGACCCAGACCAAGGCAGAGCUAUAUCUUCAACCCUCUCUCUACCCUCUAAGGAUCUGAACGCACAUUCAUUCUUCAGGGUAAUUUAUGCUCGAAUGAAGUUUAGGUGAUGGAUAAAGAAUGGAUGCACAUCGCUAACAGGGUUAAUUUUCACAAGGUCAUUAGGAGCAUGCUCAAAGGUAUUUUCCCAGAGAAAUGGUUAAAACCAGGACUUUAUGAUGAUAUCGAAGCUUACAGAGUCAUUGUCGGUCAUCCAGAGUAAGCCAGGAGCUUUAAUGGUGAAGUUUGGAGGAGUUUAAUAUCCAAAGCUCGAGCCCAAGUCUUGAGGCUCGAGCCUUAUAAGCCAAAGAAGAAAAAUCAAUAAGGAAUUAAUGCUCAAGCCUUGUACCUUCAAGCUCGAGCCUGAACAAAGGGUGCUCGAGCCUGACCAUAGGGUGCCUAAGCCUUGACCAUUAAGCUCGAGCACAAGGUGUCAGAAUAAGAAGAGUUGAUUUCCAAGCUCCUAGACCUCGUGCAUAACCCCAAGGAUCGAGCACCAUCCAUUGAAGCUUGAGCCUUGAGAACCAAAUGCUUGAGCCUGGUACCUAGUGCUCGAGCCCAUGAAGCUUUGAUCAAGCAAUGUUAAAAGAUUUCAAUCCCAAGAAUAUUCUAAGUGUUGAAGAAAAAGACGCUUUGGAAAGUAAUUGAAGAAAUUUGGCUAAGUGUUAAAGUGAAUAUCAAACACCUUUCUUGAAACUCAAGCAUCAAUCCAGAAAAGCUUAAGCCUUAUUCCUUAAGCUCGAGCCUGAAAUUUAAAGCUCAAGUCUUUGUUCCUAAAGCUCAAGCCUUCCAUGCCAUGUCAGAUUUAAGUUACGGGAAUGUUCUCUUUUCAAGCCGUAUCUCAUUCCAGAUAGGCUAGAAGACCUAAAAGCCCACCAGAUCCUUAUUUUCUUCUAUAAAAAAAGGCUUAAGCCUUGAUAGAAGAGGUCUAAAAUUCUAAGUCCUUUUGCCAUGUUAUUCAGAAGGCUGAUACUGUGGUGGCAUUUAGGGUUUCCACAACCUUAGAAGGUGAAGAUCUUGAGAAGGGAAGUGUCGUCUGUGACGAUGGAGACAACUCCAACACAGAUGAUAUCUGACAUCAUCAUGAGUAGCUAAUUUCUCUCUUAGGGCACUGAUGUAAUCCAAUCUAGUAUUAUGGUUUGAUUGUUCUUAACUCUGGGAUUAUUUUAAUGUAUUUUAUGUUUGAUUAUAUGACUAUGAGUAAUUGAGACAACUCAAUUGGUUUUCAUGCUUUAAAUAGAUUACAAAUUCUUAUUA